rnacentral:rRNA from 1 species
CCUACGGGUGGCUGCAGUGGGGAAUAUUGCACAAUGGGGGAAACCCUGAUGCAGCAACGCCGCGUGGGUGAAGAAGUAUUUCGGUAUGUAAAGCCCUAUCAGCAGGGAAGAGAAUGACUGUACCUGACUAAGAAGCCCCGGCUAAAUACCUGCCAGUAGCCGCGGUAAUACGUAGGGGGCAAGCGUUACCCGGAUUUACUGGGUGUAAAGGGUGCGUAGACGGUUGUGGAAGUCUGAAGUGAAAGCCCGCGGCUCAACUGCGGAACGGCGUUGGAAACUGUGUAACUGGAGUGCUGGAGAGGAAAGCGGAAUUCCUGGUGUAGCGGUGAAAUGCGUAGAGAUCAGGAGGAACACCAGCGGCGAAGGCGACUUACUGGACAGUAACUGACGUUGAGGCUCGAAAGCGAGGGGAGCAAACGGGAUUAGAUACCCCAGUAGUC